rnacentral:lncRNA from 1 species
CACAGCUCACGGCAAUGCCGGAUCCUUAACCCACUGAGCAAGGCCAGGGAUCGAACCCGCAACCUCAUGGUUCCUAGUUGGAUUUGUUUCUGCUGCGCCACGACAAGAACUCCCAAGAUCCAACUUUAAAUAAAAUCAUGGGUGGGGGGCGGGAUACCAGAGCCUACCCCUCGCAUCAUUAAGUCCUGAAUGUUUGUCGAGUCAGUCAAUAAAGGCGGAAACGGGCAGAUGGCUGAAGGAAUGAGUGCUGGCUACCUGAGGGUCAGAGAGUAAACAGGGAAGGCUCUGUGGCCACAUAGUCCCGUGUCUCCGUCCCGACUACUCGUCCCUCCCAGGGAGCCCAAAGGCAGCUGCAGACAGGACAUAAAUGGGCACAGCUCUGCUGGCAUAAAGUACCACAGCAGGCUGGGUCCGCCCGCUGGCAGACGUGUGCGGGUCUCCAGUUUAAAAUAUUCCCUCCCUGGCACACCCCUUUCUUCACACCCUGUCCUCCCACUUCCAGGACAAGCCGCUCAUCUGGGCUUCAGCCGCCUACCGCGCAGGAGCCCCCGCCCCACCCGCCUCACCGCCCAGGACACUGACAUUCGUCAUCUCCCCCCGGGGACAGCGGGACUAUUAUUUCUCCAGGUUCUCCCAUCUCUUCACCUCACGUCUACAACUCCCUCAUCUGCCAAAACAGUGUUUAACCUUCGAUGCCACUCUCCAGUUCUACACCCUAAAAGCUUUUUUGAAACAAAGACACUAAUUCCCAAACAUUCACGCAGUCACGAAUGCUUUGUGCUAAUGAUAAAUGGAAAGUAACCUUUUAAUGCUGUAUAAAAAGAAAAAAGAGAAAGAAUCGGUAAAAAAAUGAAAAUCAAAUAAAAGCCUUUUUGAAUUAGUCCAGUCACAUGUGAGCAUUCUCUCCUCUGAGUCCUACAACUGGCAUUUUCUCACCUGCUAAAUGCAAUUAUGAAACUCGGCCUCACAUGAGAGUCAGGUAAGCGAUUUCUUAGAAGCUUCUAUGAAGCUGCUGGCGCCUAAGAGCAGGAGCUCUGUUCUCCUCAUCUUUGUAUGUCCUGCCAUACCUUGAACAUACCACAGACUCAAUACACCUUUGACAAAUACACUAAAGUGAUACCAUUUUGAAUCUUCUGCUGCAACACAGUUAACAAAGAGCUUUGAUUUGUCUCUGUUUUCAAUGGAUUCCAGGACUUGCUAUCUCUGGAACAUCUGUCCAGGUUACUUCUCUGUGGGGUCAUUAAUCUGGCAGGAAUUAAAAUGACCUUAUUUGCCAGAGAGCUUUAAAAAUGCAUCAGGGAACUAGAAUUCUAGGAACCAACGUUCCUUUUAAACAACUUUGGUCAGGGAGCAAGGAGCUCACGACCUCCUCAACAGCUAAGCUUCUGCAGAGGUUAAGAGGAACUGAGAUUUUGCCUGUUGUAUAUUCCUAAGGACCUGCUUACAGACUGCUUCCGUGUGACUGCAGCUGAGAAGUUCUGUUCAGCUCAGCUAUUUCCCCAGUGCCAGCCUGCCAUGCAGAGAACACUGGGAGAAAUGGAAAGACGAAUAAGACAUGAGCUGAGCUGCCCUGAUACCCAGGAGUUAACAGCCUGGUCAGGGAGACAGACACGGCUCCAAGGACUAAAACACAAGGCGGGCUGUGACCAGGGCUAUCACAGAACACGGUGAGACGAUACUGCAAAGAGGGACAGUGAUUUUGAUGAAGGCAGGGGACAAAGAGCCUCAGUGAGCGGGUGGGGUCUGAGCAGGAACUUGGUAGGAAAACGGGGAUAAAGAUAUGGGUAUGGUGCCAUCUUGGUGGGUUCGAGCUGCAGAGGCCUCAGCCAACCCUCUCCCUUGCCGGGCGAGGAAGGUGAAACCCAGAGAGGAACUGGGGCCUCAGGUAACUACUUGCUCCCCUUUAGAACCAUCUCGGUGCAACUUCAGGUUCACAUGAAGGAUAGAAAAAAAGAAUCUUAAGACUAAAAUAUCUCUACUCCUAAACAUCCGUGACAAGCAUCAGAGGCACCAAGUAGAAGUCUGACCACACAGCAAGCCCAAGGCCAGGGCAGCCUCUGCUGGAAGCCACUGCCUUUGGUCGUUUUCAAGGGACCAGAUUUAGCUGCUGGCAAAAUCACACCUGGGUCCCGUCACGGGUGGCUACAGAACUUUGGCGAUAGAAUAAAGCCUGCAGUGAAUGCGGGGGAAUCAGAGGGAGCUUGCAACUCUGGGUAGGCAAUCUUGCGGAAAAGUCCAACUCUGGUUCUAAAGAAUCGGUCUCGAAAGUAACCACAGGGACGGUGACGUUGCCCUAAAAUUCCAGGGUUUACUGUAUCACAGGGCCAGGCAGGGGUUGCCUUCUCCCUGGGCUGUGCUUCCCUGACUGAACCUGGGAGGAUACGCACCGGUGUCCCGUCUCCAGCCCGCGCCCCCUCCCCCCUGUCAAGGACACCAAGGUCGUCACUGGGCUGAGGCCAAACCAGACAGCGACCUUCCCAGGGCGGGUCAGAGAAGGAGCUCGGGCCCAAAGAAUGCGCUGCGACAGUUUAAUUUGAACAGACUGUUCAGUUCCCUUCACUCGCAUGCCUAACAGGGAGCAUGUAACUGAAUAAUUAAACAACAGAUCUUUAUUUAUUUAGUUUAGAUUCAUAGGAGCAGCUGUGCCUUUUCUCCGUUCUACAGGAAACUUAGACUUCAUAGGGUCCAUUUUGUUCCUACCUAGUUCUCUCUCCUCUGUAUUAUUUCAACCCUACACACCAAUCUCAUUCCUCUUUCCCACAAUAGAAAUAUAAUGGGCCCAUAUCAGUCUAGUGAAAAAAAAAAAAAAACCCACACUUUCCAUAAAAUGAAAAGAUAUUGCCCCCAGACAGCAGAUGCAGGAAAAUGGUCUUAUUAAACACCAUUGCAACUUUUUUUGAAAAAAGUUAAACUUAUUUCCCACACACAAAACAUCCAAGUUAAAAAAUGCAUGAGUGGGCAGGCAUCGAUCCAGAGAAAACCAUAAUUCCAAAAGAUAUAUGCACACCAAUGUUCACUGCAGCGCUCUUACCAAUAGCCAAGAUAUGGAGGCAACCUAAAGGUCCAGCGACAGAGGAGUGGGUAAAGAAGAUGUGGUACAUAUAUGCAAUGGAAUAGUAUUCAGCCAUAAAAAAGAAUGAAAUAAUGCCAUUUGCAGCAACAUGGACGGACCAAGAGAUUAUCAUGAUAAGUGAAGUCAGUCAGACAGAAAAAGACAGAUGUGAUAUGCUAUCAUUCAUAAGCGGAAUCUAAUAAAAAUGACAUAAAAUAACUUAUUUAUAAAACAGAAACGAACUCAGAUUUCAAAACCAGACUUACGGUUACCAUAGGUGAAACUGCUGGGGGGAGGGAAGAGUUGGGGGGUGGGAAUACCACACACACACACACGACUGUAUAAAAGAGAGGAUUAAUGAGAACCUACUGCAGAGCACAGGGAAACCUACUCAAUAGUUUGUAACAGGCUCUGAGGGGAAAAAGAAUGGAUAUGCGUAUAUGCAGGACUGAUUCACGCUGCUGUACACCCGAAACUAAUACAACAUUGCAAGUCACAAUCCUCCAGCAAAAUCAACUUCGUAAAAAAGAUGCUUGAGAAUAAUAUUACAGCAAUAAUCCAUUCAAGUAGAUGUACUUGCCAGUGAUGAAAACAGUGAGUUUUGGAACAGCAAGCAAAUCCUCUUUACCAACACGCUUUAAUACAGUUCAUAUCACUUCCCUGAACUCUGAGGAUAUCUCUUUUUCCCAACAAAGUCAAACAAGGUACGGUAAUGGAAUGUUAGAGCUAGAGGACAGGGCAGAAAUUAUAAGCAGGCUCUAGUCCAAGCACUUAUUUCACAGAUGGAGAAACUGAAGUUUUGCCCAAAGUUAGAGAAAUCAGGACAAGACUUUACCCAAACAGAGAAACCAAAGAAUGUGCCCAAAGUUAGACAAUCAGGACAAAGCCUCCUGAAGGUCAGGGAAAUUCCAGUCUAGAGAUCCUCGGUUCAGAUUUCUUUUCACCACUUCACUACAUCUUGUCUCUUCUCUAAUAGUAGCCCAUGGCAUAUACACUUAUUUGCACGAUAUAUAUGAGAUCUAUACAGCAUAUGCGUAUGAUAUGUAUGUAUAGACACAUAACAUACAUGAUAUACAUAUACAUAGAUAUAUAUACACAGAUAUCACAUUUAUAUAUAAAAUCAGGGAAAGCUCAUAUUUGCUGAAAGGAAUCUAGUGUUGAGAAGUCUCAGCAACACUUGAUACUAAUUCACUAAGGAACUCUUGUCCCACCAUUGCUCUAAUCCCGAACUAAAUGGUAUCCUACUGGGACGGGUACUUAGCUUUCUAGCAAGGUUUCCAUGGAGACAAAGAGCCAGAUUCAGCCAACACGGAGGGGCUUUUUGCACAGGGACUAGCACAGGGCAUAUAGUAGGUUUUCAGGAAAGGUUUGCCAACCUGCUGCAAAGAACCUGACAUACACUUUAGAACACAAUGCAUAGUAAUUUCCAGAGCAGAAAGUCAGUGUAGAAAGCCUAGCAAAGUUAGGGGAAGGCAGGAGCGAGUCACUGGAUGGAGGAGGAGAAGGCAAGAGCUCUUAGCUUCUCUUCUGCCCCAGACACUUAAAGGUCUUUAUUUCUCUUCUUUUCUCUUGUCUCUUUUUCAUUUCAGAUCAAGGAGUCUGCAUCUGGAAGCCACUGAUCACAGCUACAGAUCUUCCCCAAGUUACAGCGCGGUUUCCAUCUCCAUAAACGCUUCCUAAGUUAAAGUGUUCACUGAGCCGAAAGUGCAUUGAAUACAUCUGACCUACCGAAUAUCACCGCUUAGCUGAGCCAACUGUAAACGUGCUCCGAAUACGUCCAUCAGCCUACAGUUGAGCCAAAUCAUCCCACACCGAGCCUAUUUUACAAUAAAGGGUCCAACGUUGCGUGUAACUGAUGGAGUACUCUACUGAAAGUGCAAAACACGGUGACUCUGCGGCUACGGAAUCGCCGUAAGCACACUGGCCAUUCGCCCUUGGCUCAUGUGGCUGACUGGGAGCUGCUCACUGAGCAUCAGGACAGCAUGUUGCAUCAGCUGUCCUCAGCCUGGGAAAAGAUCCAAGUUCAAAGUCUGGGGUAUGGUUGCUGCUGAAUGUACUUCAUAGAGUUGAAAAAUCUUAUGUCAGGAACUGUCUGUGUUGGCUCAAGGUCUCAGGUGCUCAAAAGAGAUUUAGAACAAAAGGACUUAAAAACUCCUAUUUCCAUUUUGUUUUGCUGCCUCACUCAAGAGACUCAGGUAAACUAAAAGGCCAUUUAAAAAUUCUGCUUCUUCCAUGUCCACGAAAGGUGCCUAACGCAGCCUAGCGUAGCCUCUUCACCAUUAGUCGGCCAAAGCUGUGACAUCGAGUCAUAGAAUAUGCCCCUUAUAUAAUACUUAUUAUUAAAAUGAAGUACCCCCUGAAACAUGGGGAUAUAAUUAUUCCCGGAGCUAAUACUUCCACUGAAAUCCGUAUUCAAAGGCUUCUGUUAUCACCGACUUGUUCAAUGCCCACAUUUACUAAAAUAGCACUAAUGUGUUUUAAAGGUGCAUUCAGAAGCUGUGCUGGUCAGCAGAAGCCAGAAAAAUACAAAUUGUCUUAAUAGCUAUAUCUGCUCCUCUUCAAGGAGACUGAAGAGAAAUCUCAUUUUCACAAAUGAAAAUCUUGUUAUUAAAGACCUCUAGACUCCAUCUGGCCCGUGCUGCAGCUGGAAGAAAUGCCAUCUCCAAACAAGGCAGCAAACUGGAUAAAGUGGCUUCGUGGUGUCAUUCUUGUUGCCAUUUAAUAAAAGUUCCGCCUUCCCAUCCCUUAUUUGAUAGCUUCCC